UUCCUAGUCCUCCUGUCUCAGCCUCA
rnacentral:piRNA from 1 species